AGCGAACGCUGGCGGCAGGCUUAACACAUGCAAGUCGAACGCCCGUAGCAAUACGGGAGUGGCAGACGGGUGAGUAACGCGUGGGAACAUGCACUUUGGUUCGGAAUAACUCAGGGAAACUUGAGCUAAUACCGGAUAAGCCCGAGAGGGGAAAGAUUUAUCGCCGAAGGAUUGGCCCGCGUCCGAUUAGCUAGUUGGUGAGGUAAUGGCUCACCAAGGCGACGAUCGGUAGCUGGUCUGAGAGGAUGAUCAGCCACACUGGGACUGAGAAACGGCCCAGACUCCUACGGGAGGCAGCAGUGGGGAAUAUUGGACAAUGGGGGCAACCCUGAUCCAGCCAUGCCGCGUGAGUGAUGAAGGCCCUAGGGUUGUAAAGCUCUUUCGGCGGGGACGAUAAUGACGGUACCCGCAGAAGAAGCCCCGGCUAACUUCGUGCCAGCCGCCGCGGUAAAAC
rnacentral:rRNA from 1 species